rnacentral:misc_RNA from 1 species
UACAUGGAGCUUAUAAGGGCUGCCUCCGUUCAUACUCUUGAUGUAAAGAUCCCUCGCUUUGCCCAAUACCUUUAUUGGGAUCAUAAAGAUCUUCACGAACUUGCUUUGGCUGUGCCCUUUGGCCCCCAUGACACAAGAAAAGAUUAAAAUUCAAAGGAAGGCGAUCAAGAAUUCAAGAUUGUAAUUAGCAAAGAAUUAAUCUUGGUUGAUAAAUCUUG